AUUGAACGCUGGCGGCAGGCCUAACACAUGCAAGUCGAGCGGAUGAAGGGAGCUUGCUCCUGGAUUCAGCGGCAGACGGGUGAGUAAUGCCUAGGAAUCUGCCUGGUAGUGGGGGAUAACGUCCGGAAACGGGCGCUAAUACCGCAUACGUCCUGAGGGAGAAAGUGGGGGAUCUUCGGACCUCACGCUAUCAGAUGAGCCUAGGUCGGAUUAGCUAGUUGGUGGGGUAAAGGCCUACCAAGGCGACGAUCCGUAACUGGUCUGAGAGGAUGGUCAGUCACACUGGAACUGAGACACGGUCCAGACUCCUACGGGAGGCAGCAGUGGGGAAUAUUGGACAAUGGGCGAAAGCCUGAUCCAGCCAUGCCGCGUGUGUGAAGAAGGUCUUCGGAUUGUAAAGCACUUUAAGUUGGGAGGAAGGGCAGUAAGUUAAUACCUUGCUGUUUUGACGUUACCAACAGAAUAAGCACCGGCUAACUUCGUG
rnacentral:rRNA from 1 species